rnacentral:rRNA from 1 species
AUCGAACGCUGGCGGCAGGCCUAACACAUGCAAGUCGAACGAGUGGCGGACGGGUGAUUAAUGUCUGGGAAACUGCCUGAUGGCGUGGGAUAACUACUGGAAACGGUAGCUAACACCGCAUACCAUCUGAUGUGCCCAGAGGGGAUUAGUUAUUAGGUGGGGUAACGGCUCACCUAUGCGACGAUCCCUACCUGGUCUGAGAGGAUGACCAGCGACACUGGAACUGAGACACGGUCCAGAAUCCUACGGGAGGCAGCAGUGGGGAAUAUUGCACAAUGGGCGCAAGCCUGAUGCAGCCAUGCCGCGUGUAUGAAGAAGGCCUUCGGGUUGUAAAGUACUUUCAGCGAGGAGGCGUUAAUCGCAGAAGAAGCACCGGCUAACUACGUGCCAGCAGCCGCGGUAAUUC